rnacentral:rRNA from 1 species
UACGGGGGGAGCAAGCGUUGUUCGGAUUUACUGGGCGUAAAGGGCUCGUAGGCGGCCAACUAAGUCCGACGUGAAAUCCCCAGGCUUAACCUGGGAACUGCGUCGGAUACUGGUUGGCUUGAAUCCGGGAGAGGGAUGCGGAAUUCCAGGUGUAGCGGUGAAAUGCGUAGAUAUCUGGAGGAACACCGGUGGCGAAGGCGGCAUCCUGGACCGGCAUUGACGCUGAACAGCGAAAGCCAGGGGAGCAAACGGG